CUACGGGUCGCACCAGUGAGGAAUAUUGCACAAUGGGGGAAACCCUGAUGCAGCAACGCCGCGUGGAGGAUGACGCAUUUCGGUGUGUAAACUCCUUUUAUCAGAGAAGAAAAUGACGGUAUCUGAUGAAUAAGCUCCGGCUAACUCCGUGCCAGCAGCCGCGGUAAUACGGAGGGAGCAAGCGUUAUUCGGAAUCACUGGGCGUAAAGGACGCGUAGGCGGGUUUUUAAGUCAGGUGUGAAAUCCUAUGGCUCAACCAUAGAACUGCACUUGAAACUGGGGACCUAGAGUAUGGAAGGGGCAGGUGGAAUUAGUGGUGUAGGGGUAAAAUCCGUAGAUAUCACUAGGAAUACCGAAAGCGAAGGCGACCUGCUGGGACAUUACUGACGCUGAGGCGUGAAAGCGUGGGGAGCAAACAGGAUUAGAUACCCGUGUAGUC
rnacentral:rRNA from 1 species